GCGAAAACUUUACAAUGCUGGCAACAGCGAUAAGGGAACCUCGAGUGCCAGGUUACAAAUCUGGCUGUCGAGAUGCCUAAAAAGCAUUUCAUAGCAAGGGCCGGGCAAGACCGGUGCCAGCCGCCGCGGUAACACCGGCGGCUCGAGUGGUGACCGUUAUUAUUGGGUCUAAAGGGUCUGUAGCCGGCCGGAUAAGUCUCUUGAGAAAUCUGGCAGCUUAACUGUCAGGCUUUCAGGAGAUACUGUCUGGCUCGAGGCCGGGAGAGGUGAGAGGUACUUCAGGGGUAGGGGUGAAAUCUUGUAAUCCUUGAAGGACCACCAGUGGCGAAGGCGUCUCACCAGAACGGACCUGACGGCAAGGGACGAAAGCUAGGGGCACGAACG
rnacentral:rRNA from 1 species